rnacentral:rRNA from 1 species
AUACGUAGGGGGCGAGCGUUGUCCGGAAUUAUUGGGCGUAAAGGGUUCGCAGGCGGUCUGAUAAGUCAGAUGUGAAAGGCAAUGGCUCAACCAUUGUAAGCAUUUGAAACUGUCAGACUUGAGUUAAGGAGAGGAAAGUGGAAUUCCUAGUGUAGCGGUGAAAUGCGUAGAUAUUAGGAGGAAUACCAGUGGCGAAGGCGACUUUCUGGACUUAUACGGACGCUGAGGAACGAAAGCGUGGGGAGCAAACAGGAUUAGAUACCCUGGUAGUCCACGCCGUAAACGAUGAGUGCUAGGUGUUGGGGGUCAAACCUCGGUGCCGCAGCUAACGCAUUAAGCACUCCGCCUGGGGAGUACGUACGCAAGUAUGAAACUCAAAGGAAUUGACGGGG